AAUAAUAAUAAUAAUAAUAAAAUAAAUAAAUAAUAAUAAUGAUAAUAAUAAUAACAAAUAAAUAAAAUUACUGCAGAAUCAGUUCUCGAGGUAGUAAGGAUAUCAUGUAAGCUAAAGGAUAAGAAUAGAGAUCAUACAAUGAAGGUAUGACUGUAAUUUCCUGAGUUCCUUUCUAACUUCAUAUUGUUUAAAACAAUAGUAUAAUCUAAUUAUAAUAGUGUUAAGAGAAAUAAAUUAGCAAAGAUAAAUUAUAGAAGGCCAAUGGAUAGAGAAAGUGCAGAAUGAAGGUUUGGACAAUUGAUUGCAGAUGCAAUAUAUUCUAAAUGCCAGUGGAAGUACUAGCUAGGGUGGUCAAAGGACCAAAUCUGAAUAGCACAGAUAUGUGAUAACAUGGUAGAGACUCUGAAAGAUAUUGUUAGCAAGUACAGCUGUCAUGUUAGGAAGAAGAAUGGAACCAGGGAUAGAAUAGUCAAGUUCUAUUUUGGGUAAGACAAAGGAAAUAAAUGAAAGGACAAUAUAAAGAGUGCAUAAUAAAAGGAACAAAGUUAAGAUAUAGGGUAGGCUAUGUGUUAUUAUUGAUAAGGUGAAUGAUAAGGAUGGAGAACCCAAAAUGGGACCAUAUUAGUGAGAACAGUGAUGGAGGUAUGGAAUACAAUAAUAAUGAGUAAAAGCUAGAAAGUGUACGAUGGUAUUGCGGACUAUUUAAGGAGGCGGAGAAAAAGAAGUUAGUAAGCAGUAAGUUGAAUAAAAGUUAAUCUAAGGGAUCAAAAAGGUAUGAUGAGAGGAAAAGAAUGAUAGAUAAUGACACAAAGGCUUUAAGUUAGACUUUUGAGAUAGUGACAAGGUAGUUAGAGGUUCAUUAUGAAUGUCAGGCAAACAUUUUUAGUGUGAUCAACAGAAUCACUUUGUAGUGAAGCAAUAACGACAUGACAACAGUAGGGGUAGAAUGAAAAGUGACGAGUCUAGGUAGUUAUAAAUCACUAGAAAGUUCAAGGAUCAAAUUAAUGAUCAUAGAUAAGGGUGGGAUUAGUGUUGGAAGAAUUUAUUAGUGAGAGAAUUCUUUCAGGAAUCAACAAAAGUUAAGGGCACAAUAUAAAUGAUGAUAGAUAUGAAUCAUAGGUCGAGUAUAAGUAAAGUUAAUAAAUUAUAAAAUAUUAUAUCAGGAAGGACAAUGGUACGGUAAAGGGUUCAUGUAGAUGAUGCAUUAUGGGUAGAGCACAAUUGUGCUGGGAGAUGAUGAAAUUUGAAGAGAAAGACUAAGAAACAUAGGUUAAAUGUUAUUAUAUGGACAAUCGGGCGUAGUUGAAUAUAAGAGGAUAUUUUUCUUUCUUUUCAAGUUUAGCUUGUGCUUUUGGUUCUAGAAUGUUACAUAAGGAACAGAGACUGAGUUAAGGAAACCUAGUUAUUUGAGAGUUUGGUAGGCACCAAUUCAUAUACAAUUUCGUGAUAUGAGAAUGACUGUAAGUGCAUACCUAGUGUUAAGUAUGAAAGGACGAUCAGAGUAAUAACAGGAGUCAAAUUGAGUUAGCUACUAAGGCUUGUGACUAUUAUAAAUUAUGAGCUGGAGAGAAUACUAAUUGUGAAUGAGUUACACCGAAUGAGAUUGUUGCUAAUAGGAAAAGAUGAGGCUGAAGUUUGGAAAGCUAUGGGCAGUAUAUGUGAUUAUAUUAAGGAGAAUGAACAUGUGAAGUAUCUUGUUUAGAAAUAAGGCAUGGCACACAUUUUCCAUAGCCGUGUUAGUUCAGAUGGAACUUAUAGUUUCUGGGGCUCAUAUCCAUCAAGGAUAAGCAAUUUCCUACUAAGGCUGGUAGGGAAUGAUAAUGUUCUGAUAGUUAAGUUGGAAAAAGGGGAUACAAAAAGAAAUUUCUAUGGUUAACUACAAGUGUUACAUAAGGUGAAGAAUGUGCUGGUAGGAGUAAAUCGUAAGGUUAGAAUUUCUGGAGUAAUAGAACUAGUAAUCAAGAUAAGACUCAGAAAUAAGAUGAAAGUUAAAGUUGAUGAUGGGAGGAACAUCCUUGAAGGAAAAAGGUGUAAGGGUGAAAUAGGAUUAAGAUUGAGGAAUAAGUACAGUAGGUUGAAAGGAUAUCAACAAUAGCAGAAAUAGGAAAAGGAAGUGGAUGAGAUCCAAAGGAUAGGAAGAAAACACAGUAUAGCUAGUUAUAAUGAGGAGGAUAAGGAGGAAUAGGUAUACUAGGAACACACUAAGAGAUGUUUAAAACAAGUUAUUAUGAGAUGAUAGAUUAAAGGAUUAGUAGAGCCCCGAUCUGAGUGCCAAUGUGUCAGAAGUAGGCCACGUACUAAGAAGCUUUAGGAAAAAGACUAGAUAUUCUCAUUCCAGAGGAGGAGUGAGAAUUGAUAAAGUCGCAUGGAUUGAGUUGUCAGGGAAUAUAAACACUUUUGUUACCUAGAAGGAGAGACCCAGUUCACUUUUCAAUAUUGAUAAAUGAUACACUUGGCCCUUGGAGGAGACUCCACCUGACUAGUUACAUAAGAUGGAUAGAGGUUAGUCUAAGUACCUUAGUAAUGACACAAAAGAGAUUAAAAAUUUUGAAGUAUCAUGGGAGUGAGAAGAUUUAUAGGUAUUGAACACUGAGGUCAUAAGAAGAGUGAAGAUCUCGAACAAGAUGCCUAGAUUAGGUGCUACAGGAAAGCUACUCAUAGGAUGCCUUAAGAUAAGGAACAUAAGUCAUGUUUUGGGGAAACAGAGAUUAUUGAAAAAAAGAGAUGAGGACUGAAGUCACUAAGAGACACGUUAGGGCGUAAUAAAAGUGAGGUAAGCGCCAAAGUUAAUUAAAGUUAUCAGAGAUUAAGUCGAGAGUAAUAGAGUUAUAAUGAAUACUUGAGAUGUUAGAAGAGUGAUCAGUGAAUAGCCAAGAGAUAAGAGCAUCUUUAGAAAGAGAUGAUGACAAAUAGGAUACUAUAGUAGAAUCAGAGAGCGGUAGAAUAUCAUAUAUAAUAUACGAAGAGUUUGAAGAAUAAAUGUCUUACCAAUCUCUGCAUAGCUGAAGGAGUAAUGAUUGCACUUGUUCUAAUAAUCUUCUUUUCCUUAUUUCUUUAUUUAUUCGAAAAUUCGAGGACGAAUUUUUUUUAAGGGGGGAAGAAUGUAACAACCACAAAAAAAAAAAAAAUUGAAUUGACCUUGGCAUGUGACAGUGGAUUUCCACUGUCACACUGCCAACUUAAAAAAAAAAAAAAUGGUUCAAAAACGGGAGGAGGAACUCCCCCCCCCCCCCUUUCUCUUUUCCCUCCUCUCCUUCCCUCUCUUCUUCCUCUUCCUUUCUCCGGCGACCGGCCGGCGACGUCCCAAGCAGUUCCCCACCCGGCCGGCGACCGUUCAGCGACGGCCAGACCACCAGAAACGGCGGCAAGAGAGGGAGAAGAGAGAGAAAACGCGCGCACAGUGGGCAGCGGCUUUCCGGCGCGAUUCCGGCUUCGUCCGACGUCCGAUCGAGGCGAUUCUGGUGGCGUUGGAAAGCUUGUUCCGAGAGCUUUCUUUUGAUACCAAUUUUGAAGCAAAUGGAGGUCGGAUGAGUGAGAUAUGGAGGAGAGAAGUUUCGGGUUUUUCAAGCUUUUUCGUCAGAUCUACGACGAUCCGACCGUUGGAUCGACGAUCCGAGACCACCUAUGGACUAAGGAAGAGGAGAGGAACAUGGUGGUAUGAUCAGAUCCGGCAAAUGUCGCCGGCGACCGGCGACCGGCCACCGUGCGCGGUGGUUCCGGUGGGCUAUGGAGAUGAUUCAACUUCCAGAGGCUUCCUCGUAAAUUUUUGGAAUUUUUGAGACACAGACAAACUUCGGGUGAUCGAAGGCAGCUAUUUUUCUGCAUCCAGCAGCCACAAUAGUCAUCGGUGUACUGUGAGUAAAAUAUUAAUUUUAAUUGUAAUUUCGAUAUUAUUAUAUGUUCAAGCAUGUCCAUGCAUCACUUAUAUGCAUAUAUUUAUGUAGUUAAACUCUAGGCACGAUUUAUGUUGCAUUCAUAACUGUUAAAGUGCCAUGGAUGUUGUUGUGGUAAUUUGGAGCAGUGUGCGUGCGUUGGCGUGCGUGUGAUGUGGUGUGGACUAUGGAUAGGACAGGUAGUCACGGCUUGAGUUCUUCGCUGGGACCCGAUCCUUCGGGGGGUAGUCAUGGCUUGAGUUCUUCGCUGGGACCCCCGAUUUGGUUUAUAAAGCGAAAGUCCGGCUUGAGUUCUUCGCUGGUACCAGGUUGGAUUUAAGAGAGCUGUAUAGGGGAUCAGCUCCCAUAUAUUAUGAUUGAUAUUACAGGGUGCGUGAGUGCUCCAAAUUACCUUUUUGAUGUUAUGAUGUGAAAAUGUUGUUGAUGUUGCAUUUCACUCUACAGGGUGCAUUAGUUUUAGAUAGUUAUAGAGAUUAUGGUUAAAAUUGAUAUUUUACUCUCUGAGUCGAACGCUCACUCCUGUUCAAUAUUUUUCCAGGCCACAGGAGGAGUUAUUUUACAGAGCAACCUGUUUUCUUCCUCGCAGGUUUAACGUCGAUUAUUUAAUUGUAUUAUUAUUAUCUAAAUUUGUAAUUUAGGACUCCGCAUGUGCUAGUAGUAGCAUUAAGCCUGUCAGGGACUGUAUGAAUUCAAGUUUUUGUAUUAAUAAAUGAAAGGAACAAUUUUAUGAGUUUUAAAUGGUUAUAAAUGAGGUAACAGGGUUGAGCUGGGCUCCCCUAAUUUUUGUUUCAGAUAAUUUCUGGGUUAAGUUGGCCCGAAUAUAAUUUUAACAGUGUAAUUUAAAUUAUUUUAUGUGCA